UACGUAGGGGGCUAGCGUUGUCCGGAAUCAUUGGGCGUAAAGAGCGUGUAGGCGGUCCGGUAAGUCCGCUGUGAAAGUCGGGGGCUCAACCCUCGAAUGCCGGUGGAUACUGUCGGGCUAGAGUGCGGAAGAGGCGAGUGGAAUUCCUGGUGUAGCGGUGAAAUGCGCAGAUAUCAGGAGGAACACCGGUGGCGAAGGCGGGUCUCUGGGCCGACACUGACGCUGAGGAGCGAAAGCGUGGGGAGCGAACAGG
rnacentral:rRNA from 1 species